GCAUUGUUGUGUUGUUUUCCCUGCAUCCUGUGUGAGAAUGUCUGUUCCCCUGGAGCUUAGGUUACAGACAGUUGUGAACGGCUAUGUGGGUGCUUGGAAUUGACCGUGGUCUUCUGGAAGAGCAGUCAGGGCUCUUAACCACUGAGCCUUCUUUCCAACCUGUUUGGUUGGUUUUGAGAUUUAGGACGAUAAGAUUUCAAAACAAAAAGAAAACCCAGUCUGGCCUUUAUCUUAUUCUGUAGCUGAGGGUAACUUUAAAUUCCUGAUACUCCUGGCUUUGCAUAUAAAUAUUGGGAUCAUAAGCAUAUGCCACCAUUGAGGUCUCUUGCUAAAUAUUGCAGGCUGGACCUGAACUUAAGAACUGCCUGACUUUGUCCAUCAAGUGCUAGGAUUAGCUAUGUGUGGCACCACGCCUGUGUAUAAUUGUAGCCUUACAGUUAGAGCAGUGUGUUGGAAUGAAUGCUUCAUGGUUGAAAAGCCACGACCGGGAAAUCUGCUUUCAAGUACUGAGGUGGCACGGUGGAUGGGGUGUAAAUGAAAUGAGACUAGCCAUGAAUAGUCAUUAAGGCUGUUAGAUGUGUGGAACCGAGGUGCAGGACCACGGAGCACACAUCAGGAAAAACAGUCGAGACAGCAGCAGCAGUACAGGCAGCAGCAGUACAGCAGCAGCAGUACAGGCAGCAGACAGCAGCAGCAGUACAGCAGCAGCAGUACAGGCAGCAGCAGUACAGUAGCAGCAGUACAGGCAGCAGCAGUACAGCAGCAGUAGUACAGCAGCAGCAGUACAGGCAGCAGCAGUACAGUAGCAGCAGUACAGGCAGCAGCAGUACAGGCAGCAGCAGUACAGGCAGCAGCAGUACAGCAGCAGCAGUACAGGCAGCAGCAGUACAGGCAGCAGCAGUACAGGUAGAGGUGGCUUUUGGAUUAUGAGUUUCUUUAACUGCCAAGUGCAGACAGAGGUUAGGUUUCAGAUGUCUAUGAGACUGAAGUUCUGGGAUGGGGAAUUCUGGAACAGUCAUAAGGAUGGAAGAGGAAGGCUGAACCAAGGAGACUCCCUGUCACAUUUUAGCAAGGUCAACGCUGUUUUUAAGUUUUGUUAAACUUGGCUUGAUGGUAAAAUUUUCAUUUAUAAGCAUGACUGUAGACAAUUUAAAUUUUUUGUUUAUGGCUAUUGGAUCAUUCGGAUACUUUAAAUGGAGCACAUUGUAGUAGAGGGUAGACAACGUGGGGAAAUUGGCCACCAUGCUAGCGCAGUCUUUGGCCCAGCAGGUGCAUUUGCACAUACUAAUUUGUUUCUAGGAAGGACAGAAGGGAGGCAUGGAAAUCUCAUGUAUCACACACCAAAGCCAGUCCCUCUGCGCAGCUGGAUUAUAUGGGCUGCAACGUGGCUCUCUCCUGCUCUUACCAGAGCGCCUGGAUUCAUAGCCCUUUUCCUGUGCACAAUCAAGUUGGAAGGCAGGGAAUGAUGCCAUAAUUGCUCCUCUUUUAACCAUGGCUGCUUCUUAUCCAUAUCACCCCUUUUAAUACCACUGUACCUUUAAGAAAGGUAUCAAUUGACAAUUUCCAUACCUGAAUACAGUGUUACCUUGGUAAUGUUUACCACCGUACCUCUUUCCAUCUCCCCCAACCCACUGUACCUUAUAGCUGUUUAAAUUCCAGACUACAAGACUCUGCAGUUGCCAUCUUUUCCUUCUUUUCUUCAAACUUGAAAUCUUUCUAUAUUGGAAAAGCCAUUGACGUGUUAAUCUCUCCUAAGCUACACUCUCUUUCAUCUUUGUGCCUUUAUAAAAGUGCAUGGAGACACACAAGCUACCUAUGUCUAGUGAGAAUAAGCUGUCAACAUUGUAGGCUUGCAGGCUAAAAUCUUUUAGGUAUAUCCUCAUGCGUCUGUCCAUUGGCUUCUAUGCCACUCUGCCUCAUGGUUGUUGUGUGUAUAUUUUAACCCCAGCUGCAGGGGUUAGUGUCUGAAAUCUUGGUCCUCUGCUAGAGAGAACAACAAUUUUCCUUUAGGGCUAGGAUAUGAAAUCUCUUCUGGAGUAAGCCUUGGAGUCUGACAGUGGUUUUGAGUCUAUGAACAGUUUUGAAUUUGGGGAGCCAAGCCCUGUCCUGGGUUGUUUCACUUAAGCCCUCUAUUUUCCACAGACUCUGUGUAUUCCUCUUGCUCCCAUUCCAACUGUUCCCACCCAAGAAGGAUGCCUUGUGCUUCUGCACAUUUUACUCAGUCGUAUUGGCCUGUGUGGUAGCCAGAGAUCCGGUUAGAGGACUGGUAAAUGGAAUUAGAGAGGUAUGAGAAAGGAUUUUGCAGAAAUUGGAUGUGCUGCUGUACUCCUGUAAUCCCAGGCCCUGGGAAGUGGGGGCAGGAGGAUCACUACCCAUCCUUAGCUACUUGGUGAGUUUGAUGCCAAACUAUGCCACAUGGGACCAGGUCUCAAACAAAACAAGCUUGCUUUGCGGUUUGCCUACAUCUUAGAAGGCUAUUUAUUCUACUGAUAACAGCAGAAGAAGUUGUACUGGGUAACUAUCUUUUUGUUUUUCCGGCUGUACAAUUUGAAAAAUGUAAUUGAAGGUAAUUUACAGAGUAUCAAGGAGUAGUUUUAUUUUGUUUCAUUUUUGUUUUUCUUAACACAGGAUAAGUACUUAUAUUCUUGGGUCUCUCCAUCCAGAGGCAACCAUUAUUAACAUUCUGUUAUUCUUUUAUCUGUUUUUUGUCCACUUAACAAUAAUAAAAUAAAGCUUAUGCAAUACAGGUGAUGCAGUUUUGCCUGCCUUUCCUGCCCAGUAUUGUUUCAGACAUGUUUCUAAAUUGAUUCUUCAAAACCAAUUAUUUUCAUGGCUGCAUGACUAUAC
rnacentral:lncRNA from 1 species